CUGUGUCGCGUUGCGUUGUGCCGAGCUAGUCGUGCGUUGGUAUUGUGCGCGCCGCAGUGGCCGUAGCAGCAGCAGUGGCAGCAUUGCCGGUCAUAACAUCACACUGCGGGAUUCAGUUGGGGUUUAACAGCCACUCGGGACGGUAUAGCUGUCGCAAGAACUUUAGGCAAGAGAGUUAGUGCCACACAUAUUUGAGUCGAAAAACACAUAGCGCCAGCUCAAAAGCUGAAUUGUUUCGUUACAAUUUUUGUUGUUAUUGUUAUUGUGCCCUCACAGAACCGGGGGAAAAUAUCGAAUUCUCAGCGGGUUUUAGUACUACCCGUCAAGCGUCAAUGAAAUUUUCGGCACAAAUCAGCGCCGUUGUCAAAUCUCAUUCGAUAUUGAAAAAUUUUCCAGCAUCAUUCGAGGAAUUUGCGUAUGCGUCAGCGGUGAGCGUGCGACUGACCAAUUGAUUGACAGUGUAGACAAGUGUUUGUUGUUGCGUGAUAGUGACAGUGCGGCAGAAAAGUAUGCGUACGCUUUGCAAGUGCUUGUGUGAUUUUAUUUUUAAUAAUAUUGAAUAAAAAAUUUUGACGCGCGUGACGUAGUGCCCUAGGGGACCAAGUGUUAAUAAGUCGAAAGUCAUAACUGUUGUAGAACUGUGGUUGAACUGCAAACAGUUACCUUGAAAUUGAAGCGCGUGUUGUAAACAAAUUAUCGGUUGUUGUUGUUGUUAUUUUAAUGCUAAAAUAAGCCUACAAAAUAAUCCGUAUAACUCAGAAACUACUUAAAUCGAGUGUACCGCACCCUCAGUUUUAGACACCAUAUCGCCGUCGCCUCCUCCCGCACCAACAAUUUGCUCUUUUUCACAUCCCCUUCGUGCUUGUGACGGCUUCAAGCUGCGUUCCGACGAACCAGUACCGGGCUUCAGCUCGGCCACACCAUGGCCCACGCUCGAGCUGGAAUGGGGCCGCAAACUCUAUCCGUCGACGGGUCCACGUUCGGCCAGCGGCCUGAUGUUCGGUCUACCACCGACCGCAGCGGAUAUGAAUCAGCCGCGCGGUCCCAUGACGUCGCUGAAAGAGGAGCCGUUGGGUGCGCGCGCCUGGAUGCAGCCGGUCAUCGAUCAGACUAAUUUGGGCAUUGGUCGCGCUCACUUCGAGAAACAGCCGCCGAGUAAUUUACGUAAAUCAAAUUUUUUCCACUUCGUCAUUGCGUUAUAUGAUCGCGCCGGUCAACCGAUUGAAAUCGAACGUACGGCAUUUAUUGGUUUUAUCGAGAAGGACUCAGAAUCGGAUGCGACAAAAACAAAUAAUGGCAUACAAUAUCGGCUGCAGUUGCUCUAUGCGAAUGGUGCACGUCAGGAGCAAGAUAUAUUUGUGCGACUUAUCGAUUCGGUAACAAAACAGGCGAUUAUUUACGAAGGACAAGAUAAAAAUCCGGAAAUGUGUCGUGUACUGUUAACGCACGAGGUUAUGUGCAGUCGCUGUUGUGAUAAAAAAAGUUGUGGCAACCGCAAUGAGACACCAUCAGAUCCUGUCAUUAUUGAUCGAUUUUUCCUGAAAUUCUUUUUGAAAUGCAAUCAAAACUGUUUAAAGAACGCCGGCAAUCCCCGAGAUAUGAGACGCUUUCAGGUUGUCAUCUCGACCCAAGUGACCGUUGAUGGCCCGCUAUUGGCUAUAUCCGAUAAUAUGUUCGUACACAACAAUUCGAAACAUGGACGCCGCGCCAAACGUUUGGAUACCACGGAAGGUACAGGAAACUCCUCCCUGUCCUUAACGGGUCACCCACUUGCGCCUGACAGUACCUAUGAUGGGCUCUAUCCACCAUUGCCCGUGGCCACGCCCUGCAUCAAAGCGAUUUCACCCAGCGAGGGUUGGACCUCUGGCGGCGCAACCGUUAUUAUAGUGGGUGAUAAUUUCUUUGAUGGCCUCCAAGUGGUCUUUGGCACAAUGCUCGUUUGGAGCGAAUUGAUUACAUCGCAUGCCAUUCGUGUGCAAACACCACCACGUCACAUACCCGGUGUGGUGGAGGUGACUUUGUCGUAUAAGAGCAAACAAUUCUGCAAAGGUUCGCCGGGCCGAUUUGUUUAUGUUUCGCUCAAUGAGCCGACCAUCGAUUACGGUUUUCAACGUCUACAAAAACUUAUACCACGUCAUCCUGGCGAUCCCGAAAAAUUACAAAAGGAAAUUAUACUCAAACGCGCAGCCGAUUUGGUCGAGGCCUUGUAUUCCAUGCCAAGAUCUCCCGGUGGCUCGACCGGCUUUAAUUCAUAUACCGGCCAGCUGGCUGUCAGCGUUCAGGAUACCGCUGGCCAAUGGACCGAAGAUGAUUAUCAGCGCGCUCAAUCGAGCAGCGUGAGUCCACGUGGCGGCUAUUGCAGCAGCGCUUCUACGCCACACAGUUCGGGCGGCUCUUAUGGUGCUACGGUGGCCGCCAACGGCUAUGGCCCCACAACCAAUAUGGUGUCGUCACCGUGGCAUCAGGCGCUAGUGCAACACCACCACACACAUCCGCACCACUACCACCACCAUGGGCACCAGCCGUGGCACAAUCCAGCUGCCUCAAUUGCAACAGCCGCCGUGUAGAGCGUUUAGAGCGUAAAGCCCGAGACAUACCAUAUUUGCUCUGUGAAAAGUUAACGGAGUGAGCGGCCUCAGCUUCAAUCCAUUCACGCUACCUACGUGUAACACCCAAGGUUAUGGCACAAGCCAACUGGUGACAUCAACAAAAUAAAAUGCGCAUUGGUUUACACAAAUAUGGGAACAGCAAAUAUCAAAGAAAUCUACUACAUACAUAUUCACAUAGGACAUAUAAGCAGUUGCGAUUUGGUUACAACAAAAAAUUAUAUACGAAAUUACAUAUCUUUUUUCUAGAGCUAAGGAAAGAAGUAGGUGGAAAAAAUGAUGUUUAAUCAAAAGAAAAAAAGAAAAUAAAUUAUAAAAAAAAUAUUAAAAAUUAAUUUAAAUACUUAUACAUACAAACAUUUGAGUAAGAGGAAAUACAUAAAUAGAAAAUUUGAAUUUGUAAAAAAUAAACUCAAUUAAAAAAAAA